AGAAACGGAACCAGCGGGAACCUUGACCUGAGACUUGCAGCCUCCAGAACUGGGAGAAAAUAGAUUUCUGUUGUUUCAAGCCCCCGAGCCUGUGGUAUUUUGUCCCAGCAGCCUGAGCAGGCUGAAAUGGGAGGAAACUGCAGCCGAGUCAGCUCCUCUGACUCUAGGCCGACCGUUCUUCCCUGUAUGACAUGUGACUCACCAGAUAAAGCCACACACGUCAUUCUUUUAAAAUUCUCUACUCUGUCCCAAGUUCUUGUCCCACAUCCAGAAGAAUAAGGUUAUGCAGACAACCAGAGAGUGAGCAGGGCAGAAAAAAACUUCUAUUGCAUGAUGGAACAGCUCCCAGCGUUGAGGGGACCUGAGAGUGGGCAGCCACUACCUGAAGCAUCAUUAUAAACUGCUGAUCUACUGUUUCUUUGUCAAACGGGAGGAGAUAACAUGAGGGUCAUGAGAAAUGUUUGCAGACGGAGUGAAUGCCUUGAAAGUGCUGCGACCAGGUGCUGACACCCGGAGGUCUGGCUGCUCAAAGUGUUAGCUGACACGGAAGACACACGGACUUUCCCUCCAUUCCCCAAAACUCCCCUUCCCUGACUCGUCAGCUGCAUAAAAACCCUCUCCU
rnacentral:lncRNA from 1 species